UACAGAGGGUGCGAGCGUUAAUCGGAAUUACUGGGCGUAAAGCGUGCGCAGGCGGUUAUGCAAGACAGAUGUGAAAUCCCCGGGCUCAACCUGGGAACUGCAUUUGUGACUGCAUGACUAGAGUACGGCAGAGGGGGAUGGAAUUCCGCGUGUAGCAGUGAAAUGCGUAGAUAUGCGGAGGAACACCGAUGGCGAAGGCAAUCCCCUGGGCCUGUACUGACGCUCAUGCACGAAAGCGUGGGGAGCAAACAGG
rnacentral:rRNA from 1 species